CCAGCAUCACCAUCAUCCUGAAAGUCUUUCGGGCUGAUGUGCUGUCGUCCGGAAGAAAUGCUUCCGAGCCGGUGCGGGAUUCCCCUCUCUUUCCUUCCAACCUCCCGGAAGUCCGCUUCCGGGAGGCUUUUUUA
rfam:Cardiobacterium valvarum F0432 genomic scaffold Scfld2, whole genome shotgun sequence.